GGCAAGAUCGAAGCGGGGGCCAAGCAAAACGGAGCAAGUGGCGGAGCCGGUGUAGCGAGCGGAAGGUGGAGACUGAGUUGUGGUUGUUUUCUUUGAAUUGAUCUGCUGGUAGGUGAGGUGACGUGUACUAGAUGUAGUACUCCAUAGAUCAAUUUUCUGCCAUGGGAAGUUGUACUAGUUGAUGUUUGCUAGCCUGUGUACAAAUCUGGAUACUAAGGGCCUCAUUUCUUAAUACACCGACAAUUUGUAUGAGAAACCGCACGCAAAGGAU
rnacentral:lncRNA from 1 species